rnacentral:lncRNA from 1 species
AUGGAGGGCGGGAUGGCAAGCUCGAGCUCACCGAUUCCAAUCCCCUCUCUCUCGCCUCCGUCUUCUCACCGGCGGUCUCCUCCCCUUACUCCCCGUCUCCUUGCUCACGCUUGCAGGAGGAAGGUGAUGAAAGCCAUAAGCCUGAAAGGCGUGCUAAGGACUGAGAUCAACCCGUCGCUCGACAAGGUGACCGUCGUCGGCGACGUGGACAGCAGGGUGCUCGUCAAGAAGCUCUCGAAGGUCGGCAAGAUCACCGAGGUGAUGGCGCCGCCGCCGCCGCCGUCACCGGCUGCGCCUUCGGAAGAAGGCAAGAAGAGCGACAGCAAUGGCGGCGAGAAGCCGACCUCGCCGGCGGACGAGAAGAGCACGCGCAAGGACGAAGGCAAGGACGGCAAAGGCGACAAGUCACCAGCGGCGGCGGCGGCGGCGGCGGCGGCGUGCAAGCAGGAAUGCAGCAAGUGCACGGCAGGGAAGGAAGCCGCCACACGCGCCGACGAGGCUGGCCGCGCCGCUGGGAAGACGGCGUCGUCCAAGGACGCCACCACCAAGAGGAGCGGCGACGGCGACAAAUCUGAACCAGCGGCGGUGGUGGUGGAGUACCAGUACCACCACCACUACAACCGGCUGGAGCCGGCCAUGGUGGUGCUAGUUCACCUCCCAUACUUCGCCGCGAAUGCGACG